rnacentral:tRNA from 1 species
UCCCUGGUGGUCCAGUGGCUAAGACUCCACACUCCCAAUGCAGGGGUCCUGGGUUCAAUUCCUGGUUAGGGAA